AUUGAACGCUGGCGGCAUGCUUUACACAUGCAAGUCGGACGGCAGCGGGGUAGUGCUUGCACUACUGCCGGCGAGUGGCGAACGGGCGAGUAAUAUAUUGGAACGUACCGAGUAAUGGGGGAUAACCAAUCGAAAGAUUGGCUAAUACCGCAUACGCUCUGAGGAGGAAAGCAGGGGACCUUCGGGCCUUGCGUUAUUCGAGCGGCCAAUAUCUGAUUAGCUAGUUGGUGGGGUAAGGGCCUACCAAGGCGACGAUCAGUAGCGGGUCUGAGAGGAUGAUCCGCCACACUGGGACUGAGACACGGCCCAGACUCCUACGGGAGGCAGCAGUGGGGAAUUUUGGACAAUGAGCGCAAGCCUGAUCCAGCCAUGCCGCGUGUCUGAAGAAGGCCUUCGGGUUGUAAAGGACUUUUGUUAGGGAAGAAAAAGGAGCGGUUAAUACCCGUUUCUGCUGACGGUACCUAAAGAAUAAGCACCGGCUAACUACGUG
rnacentral:rRNA from 1 species